UUGGUCAGAAACAAGAGUUACAAAAAUCGGAACGAUACAGAGAAGAUUAGCAUGGCCCCUGAGUAAGGAUGACACGCAAAUUUGUGAAGUGUUCCAUAUUUUU